rnacentral:rRNA from 1 species
AUUGAACGCUGGCGGCGUGCCUAACACAUGCAAGUCGAGCGGUAACAGGUGUAGCAAUACAUGCUGACGAGCGGCGAACGGGUGAGUAAUGCUUCGGAAUCUGCCCAAUGGUGGGGAAUAACCAGCCGAAAGGUUGGCUAAUACCGCAUACGUCCUACGGGAGAAAGCAGGGGAUCGUAAGACCUUGCGCCGAUGGCUGAGCCGAAGCCGGAUUAGCUAGUUGGUAGGGUAACGGCCUACCAAGGCGACAAUCCGUGGCUGGGCUGAGAGGACUGCCAGCCAGACUGGGCCUGAGGCAAGGCCCAGACUGCUACGGAGGGCAGGGGUGGGGAACAUGAGACAAUGGGGGAAACCCUGGUCCAGCGACGUCGCAUGUGUGAAGAAGGCCGGCGGGUUAUAAAGCACUUUUAGUGGUGAUGAAAAGCUGAGGGCUAAUACCUCUUGGUCUUGACCUAACCCACAGAAAAAGCACCGGCUAACUCUGUGCCAGCAGCCGCCGCGGUA